AACGCGAAGAACCUUACCUGGACUUGACAUCCCCUGAAUAGUGCAGAGAUGCAUGAAGCCCUUCGGGGCAGGGAGACAGGUGGUGCAUGGUUGUCGUCAGCUCGUGUCGUGAGAUGUUAGGUUAAGUCCUGCAACGAGCGCAACCCUUAUCAUUAGUUGCUACCAUUAAGUUGAGCACUCUAGUGAGACUGCCCGGGUUAACCGGGAGGAAGGUGGGGAUGACGUCAAAUCAUCAUGCCCCUUAUGUCCAGGGCUACACACGUGCUACAAUGGUGGGUACAGAGAGAUGCAAGACCGCGAGGUGGAGCUAAACUCAAAAACCCAUCCCAGUUCGGAUUGUAGGCUGCAACUCGCCUACAUGAAGCCGGAGUUGCUAGUAAUCGCGAAUCAGAAUGUCGCGGUGAAUACGUUCCCGGGCCUUGUACACACCG
rnacentral:rRNA from 1 species